UGAUGCCGUAGGCCGGAAUGGUCUCUGCUCCCAGUGCAGGGGGCGGGCUGCGGAGAGCGGCGGCGGUUACGGAAAUAUAACGCUGCGGGCACUAUGGUAACGAGGAGACGCCGCCGGACGGCAGGACAUGGCACAGGAUCUAAUCUGUGACACUGAUGUACAGGUGUAUGUGUGGCCGCUGAAGGCUCGCCGGGACCCCCAAAUGCAAAGCUGACUGAACACGACUGGACUAUGGCUUCAAAAAGUAAGAAAGGAUUAAAAGAUUCUAUCGAUGAUGUCCUUGGAGAUCUUCUUGGUGAUGAUGAGCAAUCUCCAUCAAAGCCACGCAAGGCACCGCCUCUGGCCACUGCUCCCGCCAGAAAAUCCCGGCCUAGCACCACUAAGAAGUCACCGCUUGAUGAUGCCUUCUUCAGUCAGCUAGCACAAGAAGCUGCACAGGAGUCUGAUGUCUCAGAAGCUGAUCCACAGGCAUUGCUUGAAAGCUUGAAGGAUUUGGAUGACAUGGAUGCAGAAAUUUUUGGAUCUAAAAAGCCAAAAUCAGCCCCAGCAAAGGACUCUGGGAUGGGCCAAAUCACUGGAAAUGACUUGAAACCUCAAGAUAAGGCAACAGGUGCUAAAAGAGGGAACUCUGCUCCUGAGAGUGAGAAGAAGCCGCUGUCUGCACCUGCUGGCCCAGCCCGGCCAUACAAAAAAUAUUCAUUUGAUGACAUAAAUGAUCCACUUGAUGGCAUCCUAUCUGAUGAAGAUAAUGAUUUUUCUAAGAAGACUAAAACUGCAAAGCAAAAAUCUGUCCCUGAUCCUGCCCCCGUGAAGACCACUGCAGUCCCCGGAAACUCCUCUGUUGUCAGCCCAAAAAGACAUCUUCCAUCUUCCCGCAAAAAGGAUGAAUUGAACUUUGAGGAGGAUACUGAUGACAUCAUGGAUGCUCUGGGAUUCAGGGACGGUCCUCAAAGUCCCCAGAAAGAAGAGAGCUCUGCUCCAAGACCUGCACGUUCCAAACUAGAUGAGCUCCUUGGGAGGGGGACUGCUGCCAAAUUGUUAGAGCGGCCACCAACUGGUGAUAAAAAAGAGUUCAAACUGGAUCCCAAGUACCAGAAAAUGGCAGAGAAAGAGGAUCCACUGGAUAAUGAGGACUUUGCUUUUGGCUCCUACCAACCCACUAUGUCAUUCAGCCCAGAAGGACGCCCAUCCCGACGUUCAUCAGUCAGAUUUUCAGCAGAUGGUAAUGAAAGCCUGAAAUCCGAUGCAAGAUCUCGCUCCACCACCCCUGUGGCCCGGAGUCCAGCCCAGGUUGAAAAGAGUGGGGCAGAUUGGUUAGGGCUCAAAGAUGAUGUGCCAUAUUUAACUCCCUCAGUUCCUUUAAGCGAACCUUCUAAAUCCACAACUGGUGCACCCAGCUCUGCUGGCCGCGCCACAAUUGCAACAAAAGUAGAUAAUAGACCCACCCUGCAGCCAAGAGCCAACCUUAUUGAGACUCCUACUGUGCAAAAAGAUGAUGACUGGUUGUCUUCUUCCUUGUCUCGGAAGAAAGCCCAGAUACAUGAGAAAGUGGAAGAUAGGAAAGAACAGAAUCUCAAUGCGCUAAAUGAGACUUCUGGAAACAGUGGUCAAGCAGUGAACACCCCUCAGCAAUCAGACCCUGGGAAGAUUGUUAGAGAAUCCAUUCCGGCUGAAGCAGAGGUAUCUAGGACCACUUUACCUUGGGACAGUCCUGUAAAGAUUUCCGCUUCCACUACUGCUGCUGCAGCCAUGCAAAAGGAAAACCGUGGGAAAGCUCAUUCCUCUGGACCUUCAGACCCUCACAGAGACCAGUCCAGAGUCCAGCCAGUUCCUGUUCCAUUCAGGGAACCUGACAUGGAGGUGUUGCAAUCACAGAAUCAGUUACUGGAUCUUAAGGCCCAGGUAAGAAAGCUUCAGCGAGAGCUGGAACAACAAAACCUGUUAUUGGAGACCUUGCAGCAGAGACACAAAGAAGAUCUGGAGCUAAUAGAGAAUGCACACAGAAACCGCUUGAAGCUGCUCGAGGAUUCUGCCAGUCAGAGGGAGGAACGUUUGCGACUGGAGAACCAAGAGCUUUCUGCACAAUAUCUUGCCCGCUGCCAUAGUGCAGAAGGCGAGAAAGCUGAAAUGUUGGCUCAGUAUCAGCGAAAACUCACAGAGUUCCAGCAGGAAAAGGAUGGGGAGAUAGAAAGGAUAAGGGAGCUGCAGAGAUUAUCUGUCCAGGAUAUGCGCAGAGACCAUGAGGAACAACUGCAGCGGAUCAAACGCCUCAAAGACCAAGAAAUUGAUGCCGUGACCAGCGCCUCUUCACACACAAGGUCAUUAAAUGGAAUCAUUGAGCAAAUGGAAUCUUUCUCUCACAAGCUGAGCGAUCUCUCUGUGCGAGUAGAGAGCACCCAGAUAAACACCACCCAGGAGAUAGAACUUGGAGUGCGCCAGAGAGAGGGACAACUUCGAGCACUGCAGGAACGUCUGACUCAGCAGCAGAAAGAUAUGGAGGAGGAACGGAACAGCCUGCGCAUGAUCAUAACGAACAUGGAGACUCGGCUGAAUGAACAGAGCCGUCUGCUGGAACAGGAACAUUGGAGGGUCUCUGCGGAACAGGCAAAGAUGGAAUCGAUACAACGUUCCCUUGAGGAGCAAAGGCGAAUCAUGACCCAGCAAAUGGCUAUGGAGAGAGAGGAACUGGAGAGGGCAAAGAGCGCGCUCCUGGAGGAACAGCAGUUGGUCAUGACACGCUGCGCAGAGGAACGAAGAAAACUUGCUGCUGAGUGGUCAGAGUUUCACACCCAGCAGAAACUGAGCAAGGAGCGAGCAGAGAAAGACAUUAGUAGAGUAAUAAUGGUAGAUUCCCAUAGAGAAGGAGCCAUUAUUAGCCUGGCUAAGGAACAGGCAGAGAUGAAAGUCCUGGCCAAUGAGCUUCGAAACAAAGAGGAGCAGCUCGCCUUAGCCAGGGAGGUGCUAGAGAAGGAGAGGCAAGAUUUGCGGCUUGAGAAGGAACGUGUGAAUGCCUCUGCCCUGCGUGUGCGGCAGAGAGCUGAGGAAAUAGAGAGUAUGAGCAAGCUUGCCUCACAACGGCAUGAGGAGGGUGAGAAGGCUUUGGAUGAGGCAAAAAGGGUGGAAUCUGAACACCUGGACCGGCUGAGGACCAUUCAACAACAACUGGAAUGGUUGAAGCAGCAGGAGGAACAUAUGCACCAGGCACGUAAAAAUCUAGCUGAUCAGAGGAGACAACUGAGCCAGCUUCAGCAGGGGCUGCCCACAAUGCAUUCACUGCUCGCUAACAGACACCUAGAAUCUCAGCAGAGCACAGCCCUGUCAGAAUCUUUUCAUCUGAAUGAUCCUAAAGAAAAUAGAUAUGCAGUAGUCAGGAACCUAGAACUGUCUAGAAUAACAUUUACAUUGCAAAAAAAGCAAAGCAGAGAGAGACCACACAGUAAAUCUGAAGGUAGGCUAAAUAUAUCAAACAAGAAAAGUCCAGAAAUGGAUAAUACAUGCGGCUGAGGAUGGCAAUAUACGACACUCGAAGGGAAGCUUCUGUUAUUGUAGAAUGGAAAUGUAGAAGAUCACAGAAUCCCGAAUGAAGGUCUAAUCAUCCGCCAAAAUAGAAUGAUCGACAGUGACCCAGUCUAAGCCUACUCCUCUUCACCCAACAAAUAUCCAGAAAAGAUGGAGAAUACUGUAACGUAAAAACUUGGAACUUCUUCAUCCCACCUGGGACCAGCCAGACUGAAGAGAAGGAUCCUGGGAAGUCGAAGCAGUCGAGACGGAAAUAUUCCAGUCACUCAGGAGCUUGGUUGGCUUCCAGGGAUGAAAAGACGUGAGAGGCUCCAUCCUUCCGUACUAGCAGCUUAACCGUAAACCCCCAGCGAUACUGUAUAUCAUGAUCCCGGAGCUACUUAGUAAUGAACAGGAAGAAACGGCGUUCGUUUAUAGUGUGGAUCGAGAGGUCUGGGGAGAGUUGCAGGCUGCCCAGUACAUCAAUAUCCUCCGCUGAAUGAGCAGCCCAGAGAAUAUCUUCUUUAAUGUGGAAGAAGAGGAGGCGCAAAAGAGGAGAACCUGGGAGAACUUCCAGGGCAGAUCGGGAGUUUGGGAAGAUGGUGAAUCUGGUCAAUCAGCAAGUCCCAAUCCGCCACAAAAGGUAUGGCAGAUUGUCGGAAAGGAGGAGACAGCUGGCAGUGUUAGGAACACCAGUGGCGUGGAUGCAACAGGUUCCAUAUCAGGCAGACAGGAGUUGCAGAGAUCGCAUGGAUGAGGGCAGAGGUGUGUCCCUUGCUGUACCCAAUGCAACACUUGCCAACCCAGAAAGCCAGCAGAGCAGAGGUC